GACAGAGGGUGCAAACGUUGCUCGGAAUCACUGGGCGUAAAGGGCGUGUAGGCGGGAAGGAAAGUCAGAUGUGAAAUCCCUGGGCUCAACCCAGGAACUGCAUUUGAAACUCUCUUUCUUGAGUGUCGGAGAGGAAAGUGGAAUUCCUGGUGUAGAGGUGAAAUUCGUAGAUAUCAGGAGGAACACCGGUGGCGAAGGCGGCUUUCUGGACGACAACUGACGCUGAGACGCGAAAGCGUGGGGAGCAAACAGG
rnacentral:rRNA from 1 species